CCUACGGGAGGCUGCAGUGGGGGAUAUUGCACAAUGGGGGAAACCCUGAUGCAGCGACGCCGCGUGGGUGAAGAAGCGCCUCGGCGCGUAAAGCCCUGUCAGCAGGGAAGAAAAUGACGGUACCUGAAGAAGAAGCCCCGGCUAACUACGUGCCAGCAGCCGCGGUAAUACGUAGGGGGCAAGCGUUAUCCGGAUUUACUGGGUGUAAAGGGGGCGCAGACGGCGUUGCAAGCCAGGAGUGAGAGCCCGGGGCCCAACCCCGGGACUGCUGUUGGAACUGCGUGGCUAGAGUGCAGGAGGGGCAGGCGGAAUGCCUGGUGUAGCGGUGAAAUGCGUAGAUAUCAGGAGGAACACCGGUGGCGAAGGCGGCCUGCUGGACUGCAACUGACGUUGAGGCCCGAAAGCGUGGGGAGCAAACAGGAUUAGAUACCCCAGUAGUC
rnacentral:rRNA from 1 species